rnacentral:rRNA from 1 species
UAAGGAGGAUGCGAGCGUUAUCCGGAUUUAUUGGGUUUAAAGGGAGCGUAGGUGGAUUGUUAAGUCAGUUGUGAAAGUUUGCGGCUCAACCGUAAAAUUGCAGUUGAAACUGGCAGUCUUGAGUACAGUAGAGGUGGGCGGAAUUCGUGGUGUAGCGGUGAAAUGCUUAGAUAUCACGAAGAACUCCGAUUGCGAAGGCAGCCUACCGGCUUCUGUCUGACGCUGAGGCACGAAAGCGUGGGUAUCGAACAGG